UACGGGGGGAGCAAGCGUUGUUCGGAAUUACUGGGCGUAAAGGGCUCGUAGGCGGCCAACUAAGUCAGACGUGAAAUCCCUCGGCUUAACCGGGGAACUGCGUCUGAUACUGGAUGGCUUGAGUUUGGGAGAGGGAUGCGGAAUUCCAGGUGUAGCGGUGAAAUGCGUAGAUAUCGUAAGGAAGACCAGUGGCGAAGGCGGGUCUCUGGACAGUUCCUGACGCUGAGGCACGAAGGUCAGGGGAGCAAACGGG
rnacentral:rRNA from 1 species